GUUUGCUGCUGGUGGCCACCAUGAACUGCAGCCCAGCCAUGCCUGCCUGUCUUGGAGACAACUGAGUGUGGACUGAAACCUCCAAAAACUGUCCUCCACUGAGUAUCCUGUUGACCAACUGAAGUCACAACUUUAGGAUGCUACCAUGAUGAGUCUAUGGAGGUAUCCUUUCAAGGGUUUCUGGCCUUACCUGACACUAUAUGGCAUUUCAGCUUCCAAAACACUGAACAGAAUGAGAUUCCUUUUCCUUGAAAAGAAAGCAUUGGGUUCUUUGAUUAAACUCUCCCAAACAACUUAA